CUGCUCACAGUCCAGAAAGCGACUGGAGGAGACAUAAAUAAACAUGGCUCAACUCGUCCCUUUAGUUGAACUGCCCAGCGGCAAAAAAAUAUAUAGUGUCCGAGGGCAGCAGUUCGAAGUGGACAGGCAAUAUGAUCUGGUCAAGGUUGUUGGAUUUGGUGCGUGUGGCACUGUUUGUUCAGCGGUCGCGAACGGGUCGGGUGAGCGAGUGGCGAUCAAGCGACUGUCGCGUGUUUUUGGUGAUCUUCGUGAAGGGAAACGAAUUUUGCGGGAGAUGGAGAUAAUGACGUCGCUGAAGCACAAUAAUCUGAUUCGCCUCCACCACUUCAUGCGGCCACAGUCAAAGGAGACUUUUGAGGACAUAUACUUGGUGAUGGAUCUUUAUGACACAGAUCUAAAUCGUAUUAUACGAAGUCGGCAGAAACUCACUGAUGAACAUCUGCAGUAUUUUAUGAUUCAAGCGUUCCGUGGAUUGCAUUACCUUCACUCUGCCAAGGUGAUGCAUCGCGACCUGAAGCCGAGCAACUUGCUUGUAAAUGCAGACUGCGCUCUAGCAAUCUGCGAUUUUGGGCUGGCUCGUGAUGAUCAAGUGAUGAGCUCGUCAGAUCUCACACAGUACGUCGUAACACGGUGGUACAGACCCCCUGAGGUACUCGGGAUGGGAUCCAAUCAGUACACGAGCGCGGUCGAUGUCUGGAGCCUUGGCCUGAUCUUUGCAGAGCUAAUGCUGGGGCGCACUUUGCUUCCGGGAACAGAUUAUAUUGGACAGCUAGUAAUGAUUGUCAACCUAUUAGGAUCCCCGUCCAUAGAUGACAUGGAGUUUCUGAGCUCAGAAGCAAAGGCAUUUAUUCUCUCUCAGCCGCGUCGGCCGGCUCUCUCCUUCAGAGAUCUUUUUCCAAUGGCUACAGAAGAGGCAACUGACCUUCUGUCGAAGCUGCUAGUUUUCCAUCCAGCGAGGCGAUUAACUGCGAAGCAAGUGAUGGAACAUCCAUAUUUUUCGAAGUACAGAGAUGCCGCAGAAGAAGCUGACGCUCCUGAUCCGUUUGUGUGGAAUCAUAGCCAUAUAGAAACCAAAGAGCAACUCCGUGAGGAUUUGUGGCGGGUUGUCGAAGCCCAUUCGCAAUCGAACGGAUAGGAAUCUGGUUCUCACUUUUUUGUUGCAUGCACCACUCAAACCUCUUCUAAUAAGAACACCCGCUUUUAAAUCGUCCACUGACGGUGCACUGUGGCUAUUGCUGAGCAAGGCAACACUCCACAUUUCUUCUCCGCAAAUUAAAAUUCACUGUAAUUUCUAGAGAUCGAAGAUCCCUCGUUUCUGGAGUGUU
rnacentral:misc_RNA from 1 species